rnacentral:tRNA from 1 species
AUUGUUUUUUUGUGGCAGAUUGAUGCAAAGAUUUUAAGCGUCUUUUAAGAAUUUUUUUCC